rnacentral:rRNA from 1 species
CUCCUACGGGGGGCAGCAGUGGGGGAUAUUGGACAAUGGGGGAAACCCUGAUCCAGCGACGCCGCGUGAGUGAAGAAGUAUUUCGGUAUGUAAAGCUCUGUCAGCAGGGAAGAAAGAAAUGACGGUACCUGACCAAGAAGCCCCGGCUAACUACGUGCCAGCAGCCGCGGUAAUACGUAGGGGGCAAGCGUUAUCCGGAAUUACUGGGUGUAAAGGGAGCGUAGACGGUGAUGCAAGUCUGGAGUGAAAGGCGGGGGCCCAACCCCCGGACUGCGCUGGGAACGGUAUGAAUUGAGUGCAGGAGG